AGUUUAAUUCUAAUUCACCUUUAUUCAAUUAAAACUAUAGACUAAAAAAAAAUUCAAUUAACUAUAGAAAAAGAAUAUUAGAAAGGGGGAGAAUUAGGGUUACGUGUUUUGUGGCCUUUGGAAUCAAAUCUCCUUCUUCCUUCGGACCAAACGGCAGCGACGACCCUCUUCUCCGAUUCAAAUUUCACCCGGUCACCCCCGGAGAACGGCACCUUCUCACGUCUUGGCCUCACCCUCUUCGUCCGUCUCAGUCUCUCUCAAUCCCGCACUAUCGUAAACUAACCCCAAUCAACCACCUCACUCUCGCUAGUCUUCCUCUCACACUCUCCUUCGAUUCGAACCUUUCCUUCUCCGAUUUUGGAUUUCUCUUUCUUCUGCGAACUCAGCGAGGAGCCUCUUGCGACGUUGUUGUUGCUCUUGCGUGGUAUUUCAGAAGACACCGAAGAUUGAAGGUUCGUUGAUAGAAAGAUGAACGAUGUGUUGCUAUAGAGUUCAAGCUGUUGAUGAUUAGAGUUUAUGAUGAAGGAUGUGGCGAAGAUGAUGAUUGAAUUGUAUGAGAUUGAUGAUGCGUUGAAGAGUGAUUGAAGAUGAUGCUGAGAAAGAUGAAGAGCGGUUGUUGAAUGGCGACGGCGAAUAUUGACGAUUUGCAGCAAUGAUGUGAGGAUGAAGCGGUGAAUUCUGCAGGUUUGGAGAAGAAUCUUAUUAUAGAGAUUUGAAGAUUGGGGAAGGUUCUGAAUUUGAGGAGGUUUGAAGAUUAUCGAGGGCACGGUGAUGGUGAAGAAGUGAAGAGAUUGAAGAAGAUGAAUUGAAGAAUGAUGAAGAUAGGAGAAGAAUCGAGAGAGCUUUUUCUGUGAAUGAAGAUGAUAUAUAUAUAUCAGGGGCUGAUUGUGCUUAGAUAUACGCGGAUGCCGGAUUUUGGUGAAUGCCGUGGCGUUAUGCUGAAAUCCUGAAUGAGGUUUGGAAUGAGAUUGGUUGCAGGCUCGGGACUCAACUCAUAGGCACUGGCGGGAUGUGGUUUUCUUAGUUUGAAAAUAGUUAGCACGUGAAGUCAAGUUCAGCUAAACAGGGGUCCUGUUAGUUGUAAGGUAUGUAUAUGGUAUGUCACUGAUUUUGGAAUGUAUAAUGUGUUGAAUUGUUAUGAAGUUAGUGAUGCUCUUAUUCUGGCGAUUGGGUUUUGGUUAGGAAUGGUUAUGGCUCUGUUAAGUUUAGAAACAAGGUUCUGUGGGUUAGCAAAGUAGAAGCUAUUUUUUAAAAUCAAUGCAAUAUGGUGACUGUUAGUAGGAAGGAAAAUUAGUUAUGAAAGAGUUAGUUGAAGUGGUUUGUAACUGUUAGCAUUGUGACUGGUUUUCUCUGAUUUUUCUGUAUUCUUCUUGGACUUGAUAUAGGUUAUGACUUUGUGUUGCAGAGUUUCUGAUGUGGUUUAUUGAAUGAGUGCAGCCCGGUUUUCUUUUAUGUUGUAGAGCGCUGUCGGUUUUGAUUUGCAAUACACAGAAUUGGCUUGAAUGCUCAGAGCUGGAAGUUGGGCUCAGUUUACUUGUUGGUUUAUGCAGAGUGGUUUGGAUUUUGCAGCAAGUAUUCUCGGGUUUCCGUGAGUUGGCUUUGAAUUGGCAGCAUGCACGUCUCGAGAUUUGACCACGUUAUUGCUUGAAUGUGCAGGAGCUGCUCACUUGUGUAAUGGAGAAAUGGAGGAGACGAACCGAGGCAAGCUUUGGCGAGGGACACAACUUUGGCUUAUGUCCACUAGAAUUAGCAAAUCGUUUUGAAUUCGAAACAGGGACUGAAUGUAAUAAAACCUUUGGUAUUUUGUACCCUUUGUAAGAACCUGUCCAUAUCCCGUGUCUUUGUAGAUUGGAUGCUUCAAGACCUUGUCAGAAGUUUAUGGCUUUUUGUAAUGAAAUGUUUGAUUGUGAUUUGUAAUGGAUGUAACUUGUAAUAGACUAUCUUAUACGGAUGGUGGUUUGGUAUGUAAUUCUUUUUUGAUGAGGGAUUUUGAAAUGAAUGGAUAUUUGAAUUUAUGCUUGCAACUUUGAAUAGAAUUUUCUUAUGAGUGAAUUGUGAAUGAUACUCGAGCAGAUAUUGAACGAUGACUUGAGUCUUGUAUGAACACUCACACUGAACUCAUAAUUACGCACCGCUUUGCCAUUAGUCUUCCCACAUGUCCACAUGCACUUAAACUUGCAACAUGAGCCAAUUAAUGAAUACUUUAUGCAUACCAUGAGAGAACUUGAACAUAGCCGAUCUUAAGUCAACUUGUUGAGCCACAAGUAGCCCAAUUGAUUAAACAAAGUCGAAUCCUCAAUACAACUCCAGAAUGUAUCACGUCUUGAUUGAAAUGUCUCCUUUAACAAACGAAUUUAAUA